rnacentral:rRNA from 1 species
AAAACUUUCAACAACGGAUCUCUUGGUUCCAGCAUCGAUGAAGAACGCAGCGAAAUGCGAUAACUAAUGUGAAUUGCAGAAUUCAGUGAAUCAUCGAGUCUUUGAACGCACAUUGCGCCCCUCGGUAUUCCGGGGGGCAUGCCUGUUCGAGCGUCAUUAC